UACAGAGGGUGCGAGCGUUAAUCGGAAUUACUGGGCGUAAAGCGCACGUAGGCGGCUUGGUAUGUCGGGUGUGAAAUCCCCGGGCUCAACCUGGGAACUGCAUCCGAAACUGCCUUGCUAGAGUAUGGGAGAGGGAAGUGGAAUUUCCGGUGUAGCGGUGAAAUGCGUAGAUAUCGGAAGGAACAUCAGUGGCGAAGGCGGCUUACUGGUCCGGUUCUGACGCUGAGGCGCGAAAGCGUGGGGAGCAAACAGG
rnacentral:rRNA from 1 species